UCAGCGACUUAUAUUCUGUAGCAAGGUUAACCGUAUAGGGGAGCCGAAGGGAAACCGAGUCUUAACCGGGCGUUAAGUUGCAGGGUAUAGACCCGAAACCCGGUGAUCUAGCCAUGGGCAGGUUGAAGGUUGGGUAACACUAACUGGAGGACCGAACCGACUAAUGUUGAAAAAUUAGCGGAUGACCUGUGGCUGGGGGUGAAAGGCCAAUCAAACCGGGAGAUAGCUGGUUCUCCCCGAAAGCUAUUUAGGUAGCGCCUCGUGAAUUCAUCUCCGGGGGUAGAGCACUGUUUCGGCUAGGGGGCCAUCCCGGCUUACCAACCCGAUGCAAACUGCGAAUACCGGAGAAUGUUAUCACGGGAGACACACGGCGGGUGCUAACGUCCGUCGUGAAGAGGGAAACAACCCAGACCGCCAGCUAAGGUCCCAAAGUCAUGGUUAAGUGGGAAACGAUGUGGGAAGGCCCAGACAGCCAGGAUGUUGGCUUAGAAGCAGCCAUCAUUUAAAGAAAGCGUAAUAGCUCACUGGUCGAGUCGGCCUGCGCGGAAGAUGUAACGGGGCUAAACCAU
rnacentral:rRNA from 1 species